rnacentral:lncRNA from 1 species
GCUUUGUACCUCUUUGGUAGAACCCAAAUCUAUACAGAAACUGGCUCUGUGAUCAAUGAUGCCUGCCCAGUGAUAUCGAAGUGUUGCUGGAUUUUGUAUUGUAAUCUGUUGUGCUUACCACACUGCCACUUUUUAAUGAGUCAGAGACGUUGAUUUUUUCAACACUUUAAUAGAACAAUACCCUCUUUAAAAAGGACUAAGUAUGUGAAAACGACAAUUUAUGAUAAAGUAUGUUCACAAUGAAACAUUUGCUUUUAGUAAGAAUUAAAGUACUUUGGAGAAACUUUGUGGCAUAUUUUGAUAUUCCAAUUCAAAUGAAAAUUUAAAUUAAUAGAAAAAUCCAUUCAGAAUUCAUAGAUAGUUCUUCAUGUUUUUCUGCAGCUAGUUUCUGGUUUCAAAAUGUAAGUAUGGGGCUUUUAGCCAUUGCCUACCUAUUCUGACUUAACUAAAAAAUACACUUUUCAAAAAGGCAGUUUGACAUAGUGGGAUGGAUAUUAGGAAAAAUUGUCAGGACCUUCCACUUUGCUGUUAACCUGUAUUGAUAAAUCACUGCCCUUCUUUGGAUCUCAGUUUUUUAUUUAUCUGUGUGGUGAAGUCAGGUCAUACCAUAGACAUGAGAGAAACCUAUUGAUAUGUGAAUGACAAAGAUGAUAGAUAAGAGCUGAAGCUAUUGCAUACAGAAUAUCCAACUAUGAUCUCUGUGAAUAAGCAAUUUGAACAUAAAAAGCUAUGGCUGUUCUUGUUUGUAAUGUAAAUAUGGUCCAUUCUUAAAGUGAAAUUCAGUCUACUGUAGGUUGAAUUGGAUAACCAUUUACACAAGAGAUGGCUUUUUCCUUUGCUUAAAUAAACAUUUUUGGAUUACUUCUGAAGAAUGAAAACCAAGAGUAUAUUUUAUCCAGGAAAAUAUACUAUAAGAUGUGUGUAGCAUUUGGAAGUGCACCAAAUUAAGCAUUUAAAUCUCUCAUUUUCUUAAAAGCUAAGGGCAGAAAAUGUAAGAUGUUCAUAAAGUUUUUAACUGCCAAAAGAUACUUUAGAAUCCAUUUGGAGAUGGGUAAACCAUAAAUUAAAUUUUAAAACUGGAAAAUGGGAUAAGAAUUUUAAAGAAAGCCAGCUUGUUUUGAAACAGUAUUAUUUUGAAAUUGGCAUUAAAAUACAAAUAUUCAGAUUGAAAUUCCAACCACUUUAUUUGUUAUAAUGUUGCUGGAAAUGCCCUUUGUGAAGAUAAAAUAAUGGUACUUUCAUUUCCUAAAAAGGUAUUGUUUUAGAAAUAAUCCAUAUUAUAAUGGAUAUUCAUGAUCCUAAAAAUGUUUCCUAAGCAUUGUAAAUUUAUGUAUAAGUGCCAUCUACAAUUACAUCUUAAUUGUAUUUUUUUAAAUAACAUUGUUUAAACUAAAAACCAUAGUAUUUUCAGUUGCUUAAUUUCUGAGCUGUGACUCAAUAAAAGUUUCCAAUCAAAACAUCCUAUUCUCCUAUAUUCUAAGGAUUAAUGUGUGAUUAUAGUGUCCACUUGCCACUGUUUUUUUUUUAAAUCAAUGGACUUAAAGUAUUCAGACAUUUAGAUGGAUGUAUAGAUAUAUUGCUAGUUCAGUCAUAGAUUGGAGUUUGCAUAUUGUAAUGUAAAUGUCUUUCAACACUAUUCUAUAGUUUUAUUAUGACUGAAGUUUAAUUAAAUAAAAAAAGUUGUAAAAUGUGAUGUGUAUGUGUAUGUACUGUAUGUGUACUUUUUAAAAUAGGUAUAUGUUCUGACCCUUUUUUAUACAGGUUUGAAUUUGAAAUUACAUUAUAUAUACAUAUACUUUAUUGUUAUAAAUAAAGAAUUUUAUGCACCCAAA